UAAAAGUUGAGUUUGGUGAUGGCUCUGAUUGAAUGCUGUCCAAGUGCUUGACACAUGCUAAUCGUACGUUUUAAUUGUGCUUUGCAUAAAUUAAAAAGUGGUGUACAGGUGAGUAUAAUGAUAUUCUUCGCCGGCCUUAAAGUGGAGGUAAAUCCUUCAUAAUAAAUAAAGGAAACGAAUAGUUUCUGCUUUAAGAGGAUAAUAAAUAUCUUCGAGAUAGGUAGUAGUUAAGGUGAUGACUUAACUAGCCUUAAACUCUCGUAGUCGAAUCUGAAAGGUUGAUCGACCACAUUGGGUCUGAAAAAACCCCAAUGCAAGUUAGUACAGCAGUGAGGAAUCUUGGUCAAUGGCCUAACGGCUGAACUGGCAACUUGGAGAAGUGGCAAGUCUCAUAGGAUGGGCUGGUGCUACCCCCAUUUCUAUAAGAUUGUAUUAGGGUUGAAUGAAGCUUUGUUUAUAUAUUGAUAAUGACAGUAUAUAUAUCGUGUCUUGACUAAUUGCGUGCCAGCAGUCGCGGUAAUACGUAAGAGACUAGUGUUAUUCAUCUUAAUUAGGUUUAAAGGGUACCCAGACGGUCAAUAUAGCUUCUAAAAUGUUAGUACUUGACUAGAGUUUUAUGUAAGAGGGCAGUACUUGAGGAGGAGAGAUGAAAUUCCGUGAUACCAAAGGGACUCUGUAAAGGCGAAGGCAGCCCUCUAUGUAAAAACUGACGUUGAAGGACGAAGGCACAGAGAACAAACAGGAUUAGAUACCCAAGUAGUCUUUGCAGUAAAUGAUGAAUGCCAUAGGUCAGAUUAAUGUAGAUGAGGGACUAGACAUUAAACGUUAUUUGGUCUAUAAAUGAAAGUGUAAGCAUUCCACCUCAAGAGUAAUGUGGCAACGCAGGAACUGAAAUCACUAGACCGUUUCUGACACCAGUAGUGAAGUAUGUUGUUUAAUUCGAUGAUCCACGAAAAACCUUACCACAAUUUGAAUAAUUAUAUUACAGGAGUUGCACGGCUGUUUCCAGUUAAUGUUGUGAAACUGUGGUUUCCAUGAAAUUAACGUAAUCCCUGGCUUUAUUUUUUUUUAUCUACGAUAAAGCAUUCUGUCCUGGAAAUUUGGAAAGAUAAAGGGGACAAAGACAAGUCAUCAUGGCCUUGAUAUUGUGGGCUAUAGACGUGCCACAUAUUCCUAAACAAAGAGAUGCCAAAAUGUGAAUUUAAGCUAAUCUCAAAAAAUAGGAUAUAAAUUUUAAGGAUUGUAGUCUGAAAUUCGACUAUAUGAAUAAGUAAUUACUAGUAAUCGUGAAUCACCAUGUCACGGUGAAUAGACCUUGGAUUGGUACUAACCACUCGUCACAUGCUGAAAGGAGCAUGCGCAAUAAGUUUGCUUUCUUUGUAACAAGUAAAAAAAACAAAUAGGUUUUAUAUAUUCUUUUAUUGGGAAUCUUCGUAUGCGUGGCUCUAAUUAGUGUUAAGUCGAAAUACGGUUCGUGUAGUGGAAGUUGCACGGGAUUAAUUAAUAUU
rnacentral:rRNA from 1 species